rnacentral:rRNA from 1 species
UACGAAGGGGGCUAGCGUUGUUCGGAAUUACUGGGCGUAAAGCGUGCGCAGGCGGCUUCUCAAGUCAGGGGUGAAAGCCCAGAGCUCAACUCUGGAAUUGCCUUUGAGACUGAGUGGCUUGAGUACGAGAGAGGUGAGUGGAAUUCCCAGUGUAGAGGUGAAAUUCGUAGAUAUUGGGAAGAACACCGGUGGCGAAGGCGGCUCACUGGCGCGUAACUGACGCUCAUGCACGACAGCGUGGGGAUCAAACAGG